UCCAUAGUUCUCAGGACGGACGUGCUCAAGCUGACUGAGCGUCGUUCCAUGGGGGUGAGCUCUGGGAUCGUAUCUCUGUGUCGGGGGCAGAGGCCAAUAAUCAUGGCAUUUGGUUAAUUCAAGCAUGACCAGGUUACAUCUAUGCAUUAUGAACACGGAGAGCCAUUCCUUGUCAGAAUGAAUGCACUCGAGUUGGUGGAACCAUCUUCCAUGGUCACGAGGCCUGUGGUUGUGACUAUACAAUAGGAGGACAG